UCAGUAACAACCUUUUGGCCUAGAAGGGCUGUCCUAUAGAAAAUAAAUAAAGGUGUGUCAGAGACUUAGGAAGAAAAGGGAGAAUCUAUUCCAUGGAAAGUGGAAAGGAUUGAAUGCUACUCAAGUCCCUUCCAAGUCUGAGAUUUAAUUUUUGAGUAAGAUACUUAAGGCUAAAAAACAGAAGACAAACAGUAACAGCAGUUCAACCUCAGGAAAGUAAAUGGGAAAAGACAGGAUCUUUUAUUUUCAGUCCUCAAAGAUAGAGGAUAUACUAAAUUCUUUUUUCAAAGGAGCUCUCUUGAGAAACCUUGAUUUGAGUUUCAGCUGCUAUGUUAAAAAGAGCUAUGAAUGGGUAAUUUAUUAUCACUGAUAUUUUACUUUUUACUGUGAAAACAGCACUGUUACAUUUAGUUCGAUUCAGUUAACCAUAUAUACAAACAGAAUAAAUUGAAGAUUUUCUAAAGGCUUGAGUUAGGAAAUUAAUCUUUUAAAUUGUUCACAUUCUAAUUGCUGCUUAUCCACUAAGAGAAGGCUUGCUGUAUUUAGUGUUUUUGACUAAUAUAAGAGUAAGUCAUUGGAAGCUUGUUUUUAUUAUCUUAAUAUGUAUUUUACUGUUUGGGGGGGAAGAAGGAAGAAAAAAAACAUUAAAUUUGAGAUAAAAAGAUAUGAGAAUAAUAGAAAUAUUUGAGAAUUAUCUGCUAUCCCUGCUAUUAAGUAGAAGAUAGAUACAAAUAUUUUAGUUCCGAAUUUCUCUAAUAUAUGGAGUAUGGCUAAGUGGGCUUCCACAUUCUUCUUUCCACAGCUUUUUCAGAAAGAAGAAUAUUCACAGAACCCAGCAGUUAUUAGAGUAGGUUCCUGCUUUGGACUAAACUUAGACCUCUCAGUCCUCUCCACCUCUCGGUUUCUCAAAUACUUUUUGUUUUAAUUAUUUUUCUGGCUAUAAUUCUCUGGUGAAAUUCAUUAGUUUUACAUACUUUACUGAUUUUUACAUUUUAAACAAGAUUGUUCACAAGCAGGAAUAAUUCAAAUCUUUUAAGUACUACAAUUACAUUUUGUUCAAAAAUCAAGUCUGACAUUAUGUCUAGUCAAAUAAUCCUUAUAGUUUUUUAAAUUAUAAAAAAUAUCCACCCUAAAAAAGUCAAUGAAGGAGUUCCUGUCAUGGCUCAGAGGGAAGGAACCCGACUAGUAUCCAUAAGGAUACAGGUUUAAUCCCUGGCCUUACUCAGUGGGUUAAGGAUCCAUUGUUGCUCUGAGCUGUGGUGUAGGUGUAGAUUGCAGACAUGGCUCGUAUCUAGCAUUGCUGUCUCUCGUGUACACCAGCAGCUACAGCUCCGAUUAGACCCCUAGCCUGGGAAUUUCCAUAUGUGAAGGGUGCAGCACUAAAACAAACAAACAAAAAAGUCAAUCACAUCUUUUAAGUUAGCACUUUUUGUUUAGGGUGUGCUGUGAAUAAAAUUGUUUAUGUUAUGUGGGAGUUUUAAAAUACUU